CAUUUCUACAGAUAUGUCUGUUCUUAUGUUCUCGUGAUCAUUAUUCGAUUGAUUAAAAUUUUCUUUGUUUAUAUACGAGUUAUGUGAAAAUAAGACCAUAUCUAAAAUCAAUUUAUAAAGCAUUGAUUGUAUAUGAAACCUUAAUAUUCUCUGAAGUAGACAUCUCUAUGCUUUGACUAAAAUCUAAUUUUAUUGCUGAACGGGAGCGAGUUUUUAUAUUUUCUGCUGAUGUGUUUCUGAUAUCAAGUAUAGAAGAUAUAUUGGGUGAUAGAUUUUCAGAAUUUUGUAUAGGUGUUCCAUGACGCUGCAUUUUGCGUGAAAAUUUCUAUAAAUAAAAAAUUUGACUUUGUAUAUCAUAUUCUACAUUGAUUUUUUUUCUGUAUAGAAAGUUAUGAUUAUUCCCAUGGGCUAGGUAUUAUCUCAUUUGUCAUAAAAAAUUUAUCAAUUGCUGCCUGAGCUUUUAAUUCAAUGUCUGGAUCUACAUUAUAUAUUUGCUCUAAAGGAAAUUCUUCUAUUUCUG